rnacentral:rRNA from 1 species
UGGAAGUAAAAAAUCGUAACAAG